UUAGUGGCAGACGGGUGAGUAAUGCAUAGGAAUCUACCUAGUAGUACGGGAUAGCCACUAGAAAUGGUGGGUAAUACUGUAUAAUCCCUGCGGGGGAAAGAUUUAUCGCUAUUAGAUGAGCCUAUGUUAGAUUAGCUAGUUGGUAGGGUAAAGGCCUACCAAGGCAGUGAUCUAUAGCUGGUCUGAGAGGAUGAUCAGCCACACUGGAACUGAGAUACGGUCCAGACUCCUACGGGAGGCAGCAGUGGGGAAUAUUGGACAAUGGGCGCAAGCCUGAUCCAGCUAUGCCGCGUGAGUGAGGAAGGCCUUAGGGUUGUAAAACUCUUUCAGUGGGGAGGAUAAUGACGGUACCCACAGAAGAAGUCCCGGCAAACUCCGUGCCAGCAGCCGCGGUAAUACGGAGGGGGCAAGCGUUGUUCGGAAUUAUUGGGCGUAAAGGGCAUGUAGGCGGUUCGGUAAGUUAAAGGUGAAAUGCCAGGGCUUAACCCUGGAGCUGUU
rnacentral:rRNA from 1 species